rnacentral:tRNA from 1 species
GGGCAGAUAGCUCAGUCGGUAGAGCAACGGACUCUUAAUCCGUGGGUCCAGGGUUCGAGCCCCUGUCUGCCCA